UGCGAUAAUCUCCUGUUUUCCAUCGCUCCUAACACCACCACCACCUCACACCACCUCUAUACCACCCCGAAAAUCAAUUAACCACACACUAAUACCCUCACUAACACCACGGAGCCCCGAAACACCACAAAAAUACCACAAAACCAGAAAUGCUAAUAUGUCCGUGUGUUUGGGUUGUCCCCGAGACGUGUACGGAGACGGCGUGGUUAUCAUUUUUGCGUUUUUUUUGGCACUUCUAAGCUUCUGAGGCACAUGAGGACCUGGUGACAUGUUGGUGGCACUCCUCUGGCCCUGUGUGCGGUGCCAUUCGAGGUGAUGGAGUUCCAGAAGGGAGGGAAAUAGGGGUAGAUUAGUGGGUCUGUCCCCGCCGCCCCUGACAGCCACUGUUUAGAAGAUUGGGAGCGUAAGAGGAGGGUGAAGAACACACUCCCGUCACUGGCAUCCACACACACACAGCACCAUCACCACCAUGGCCCAAGCUGGUGAGGAGAUGGCCCAUGUUACCCUCACCAACGGCCUCCUGGAGAGUGGCGUGGAGCGUGCCAUGGUGCAGCUGGGGCCGGAGAUGGUGGAGGAGCGGAUAGAGAUGGUGGAGCAGGACCUGGCGCAGAUGGUGGAGGUGGAGGAGGAGGUGGUGGUGGGCCGAGGUGUGAUGCAGCAGAUCUCCAACGGGGUGACCAGCAUUAUCAAGAAGGAGGAGGAGCUGGAGCAUGAGGCUGAAGAGGAAGCAUUAGAACCUGACCCUGAGAGCACAGUCGCUGAUGAAGAGGAGGAAGAGGACGAGGAGGAGGAGGAGGAGGAAGAGGAGGAGGACGGAGCUGGGGAGAUCUCUAUUAAGCAGGAGAAGGGGAAGAAGGUGCAGAGGGGGAGGAAGAGGAGGAAGAGGCGCCUCACCUUCACGCCGAGGAAGCUCAACAAGAUAUACGAAUGUGACCAGUGCCCGGCAAGGUUCGCCCGUGACACCCAGCUCAAGUACCACGCCAAGGUCCACCUCAAUGACCAGACUGAGAAGUUUGAGUGUGACCAGUGCCACGUUGUGUUCUCCCGCAUGAACAAGCUGAUGAGGCACCGUCAGCACACCCACCAGGAGGCUCUGUCCUGCGAACACUGCAACUCACAGUUCACGCACAUCAACAGCUAUCGCCUGCACAUGCGUCUGCACAGCGGGGAGAAGCCGUAUGGGUGCAAUGAGUGUGGGGCGCGGUUUGUGCAGAGCAGCCACCUCAACAUCCACAAGCGCUCGCACACCGGGGAGAAGCCGUACCAGUGUGACGUGUGCAAGCAGUCCUUCAAGCAGAUCUCCCACCUCAGGACACACGAGCGCAUCCACACCCAGCUCAAGCCCUACAUCUGCCCCAUGUGCAACGCCGCCUUCAUCCAGAAGAGCAGCCUCAACCGCCACAGCCGCAUCCACACCGGGGAGAAGCCGUACGUGUGUCUGGUGUGCCAGGCGGCCUUCUGCGUCAAGAACAACCUCACCCGCCACAUGAUCACCCACACCGGGGAGCAGCCCUACAAGUGUGACCUCUGCCCCGCCUCCUUCGGCCAGGCCAUCGACCUCAAGCGCCACAAGAUCGCCCACACCGGGGUCAAGCCUUUCCAGUGCGACGUGUGCGACGCCGCCUUCAGCCGCAAGAACAACCUCAAGUGGCACAAGUACAGCCACACGGGGGAGACGCCUUUCAAGUGCGACGAGUGCUUCGCCGAGUACGCCCGGCCCAGGGACCUCAAGAAGCACAAGCUGAGCCACGGCCCAGCCAAGCCACACGUGUGCCAGGUGUGCAGCCAGCACUUUGCCCAGGCCAGUGCCUUCCGCCGCCACAUGAUGGGCCACACCGGGGAGAAGGGCUUCCAGUGUGACAAGUGCUUCGCAGACUUUCUGGACAAGAGUGCCCUCAAGAGGCACAUGUACAAGCACGUGGGUGCCAAGCCUUACAACUGCAAGCGCUGCAGCGCCAUGUUCAGGGAGUACCGCAGCCUCAAGCGCCACUGCCAGCAGAUGCACGGCGAGGAGCCGCCCCUGCUGGAACAGGCGGCUCAGCAGCAGCAGCCCCAGCCCCAGCAGCAGCCCCAGCAGCAGCAGCAGCAGCAGCAGCAAGUCCAGCAGCAGCAGGUCGCUGUCCCGGCCGGCACCAUCAUUGCGGACCCCAGCGUGCUGCCCCAGUUCAACCACCCAGGGCAGCCCCAGGCAGCCACCAGUCAGCAGAUGGCCCCGGUGCCCACCCUCAUGCUGUCCGGCGGCCCCGGCCAGCCCGCCCGUGCUGCCCGGCCUGCCAACAACUGCCAGAACCACACGGCGCACGUCCUCACCUUUGGCGGCAACAACCAGUGGCAGUCCUGGUGCUUCUGUGAGACCCCAGCCAUACCCCAGGACGCCCAGCAGCAGCAGCAGCAGCAGGUCAUGGUGACCACCACGCUGCCUGCUGCCACCACACACCACCAGCAGCAGGUGCAGCAACAACAACCUCAACAACAGCAGCAGCAGCAGCAGCAGGCCCAGUCCGCAGCCUUCACCAUGUCCGUGAAGGCCCCGGCCAUGCCCACACAGAUCCAGCUGCAGUUCCCCUUCAACGAGACACAGGCACAGCAGCCCACCACCAGCCACACGCAGCAGUGGGUGUCCAGCUGGACCAAGUAGCCGCCCACACACACACACAGACACACCCACACACCCAUACCAAUGCUGGGAAGGCCCUGGAUAGCCAUCAUCAUCAUUAUCAUUAACAUAAUCAGUGAUCUCAUUUACUGUGAAGGCCUCAGUGUGACAAUAUGGACAAGUGUUGAGGCAAAGACUGUAGCCUCAUGUCUCGGGAAGGCUUGGACACGGAGGGCUGGGGUCAAGAGUGCCGGAGGGGGAGUGAGUGUGUGGUGCCGGACUUGUUCUGGCACCCAGGCGUAAGGAUGUAAGUCAGUGUAGUAGGAUAGGAUUGAUGUGGUGUGGGUGUGGUGGAGUGUAGAUAUAUACCUCAUGUAACAGUGAUUGUGGUGGUGGUGGUGGUGUGUGUGUGGCUCAGUGUGUGUGUGUGUGUGUGUGUGUGUUAUGGGAUGGAGGAAGGGUGGAAGGAAGGAACAGGCAAAAGGAAAAUAAGAAAGAAAGGAAAACAAGAAAGAAAUUAACGCCACUAUUAUCAGAAAAUCUUAUGAAAAGUGCCAUAAAGAAAAAGAAUAAGAAAGAAAGGGCAAGGAUAUCAAGCAGUAACAAGAAAGAAAUUAACACCACUAUCAGGAAAUUAUAUGAAAAGUGCCAUAAAGAAAAAGAAUAAGAAUGAAGGACAAGGAAAUCAAGCAGUACAGCAAAGAGCACAAUUAACCCAGUAGCAGCGGGGAUCAUGUUUCUUAAUGGUCCCUCUAAGCGAGAAAAAUGAGAAAAAAUCACCCCUCACACAAACCAUUUCAUAAUAUAUAUCAAAGCAUUUGUGAUCAGUUUAUGUAUCAUCUAUUUUGGGGGGUUAAAAUCAUGGCACAAAUUUGGCCCGUCGCUGCUGCACGGUAAAGCCACAAAUUUGGCCCGUUGCUGCUACACAGUAAAGCCACAAAUUUGCCCCGUUGCUGCUACACGGUAAAGUCACAAAUUUUGGCCCGUCGCUGUUACACGGUAAAGUCACAAAUUUGGCCCGUUGCUGCUACAUGGUAAAGCCACAAAUUUGGCCCGUCGCUGCUACCAGGUUAUUAAGUAAAGAACUGUCAAGGGUCAAACUAUUUAUUAUCAUUAAAAUAUUACCAGACAGAAAUUGUAUAAUGGAAAAGACUAACCAGAACUAUGUGACCUGAAUAGCAUUGCUGAGGUCAGGGCAAACAGAAUAGGCUUGCUGGGUGCUGAGAGGACUGAGUGGCUCUAUGCUGAGGCCAGAAGGACAGUCAGAGUAACCAUGCUGAAUGCUGAAAAUAAGAGGGACUGACUUGCUUUGAUGUUUUGCUGAGAUCUAAGAGAGUAAUGCUAAGUGCUGAGGUCAGAGAGGGCGGACUUGCUGCCUUGCUGAAACCAGGACAGAGUAACCAUGCUGAGUGCUGAAGGCAGGAGAAACAGGUCUGGCAGCAUGCUGAGGUUGGGACAGACAGAGUACCCAUGCUGAGUGCUGAGAUCAGGACAGUAACAAUGCUGAGUGCUGAAGAUGAGGGGCUGAGGCCAGAAAAACAGAGGAACCAUGCUGAGUGCUGACUUGCUUGGCUGUUUUGCUUCAACCAGGGCAGAGUGACAUUGCUGAGUGCUGAAGGCAGGAAGGAUUGAGAAGCUUUGAUGUGUGCUGAGGCCAGGACAGACAGAGUAACCAUGCUGAGUGCUGACUUGCUUGGCUGUUUUGCUUCACCCAGGACAGAGUAACAUUGCUGAGUGCUGAAGGCAGGAAGAAUUGAGAAGCUUUGAUGUGUGCUGAGGCCAGGACAGACAGAGUAACCAUGCUGAGUGCUGAAGGCAGGAAGGACUGAGAAGCUUCGAUCCAUGCUGAGGCCAGAGGAACAGAGAGUAGCCUUACUGAGUGCUGACUAGCUGACUUGCUGGCUAUUUCGCUGAGGCCAGAGCAGACAGUGUAGCCUUGCUGAGUGCUGAAGACUGGAGGGACUGACUGGCUUCUCUGCAUGCUGAGGCCAGAAGGGGUGGAGUGCUGAGUGCUGAGUCAGGAGAGAGGUGAGUUAUCGUAGUGGGAAGAGAGUGAGUGAGUGAGUGAGAAUUAGGACUCAUCAGGUAUAGUCCUUAUGUGGCAGCUGUCUGGUUAGUAAUAGUAGUAACAGUAGUAGUUGUAGUAGUAGUUGUAGUAGUAGUAGUAGUAGUAGUAGUAGUAGUAGUAGUAGUAGUAGUAGAAGAAGUGAUGUAAUAUGGAUUUGUAAUGUUGAAAGUGGCAGCUAUGGGAAAAUUGUAUCUCUUAACUUAUUUAUUAUUAUUAUUAUUAUUAUUAUUAUUAUUAUUAUUAUUAUUACUACCUUAUUUUUCCUAUGUCCAGAUCUGCCAUAGUUCAUUCAUUGGCAGCCCAGGGAUUGAUUUUAUUCAUAUUAAUACUAUUUAUUAAUUUAUUUAUUUAUUAUUUUUGUCUUGGUGUUGAUUUUUCUACGUCAAAUUAAUUCCAACAGUAUAUUUUCCUUCUCGCUCUUUUAUUUUGCCAUUUGAAGCAGUGAUUUUAUUUUAUUUAUUUUUUAUUAAUUUAUUAUUAUUAUUAUUGGUAUUUUUUGGUAUCAUUUUUCCUCUCAUUUUUCUUUCACCUCCUUCAUAGACGUGCUCAUCGCUUCCUUGGUUCCUGUCAUUAUAUCUAUUUUUUCAUAUUUAUUUUAUUUAUUUGUGUAUUUUUUUUAUCCCUCACUGGCAGGCUCAGAAAACAUAAUCAAAAGUUGUAUAAGAAACGGAAAUGUAGGAAUAUGUGGGCUAUGUUGAGGCAGCUAUGUGGUUGUGUGGGUGUGGUGUGGGUAUGCUGUGCUGUGUGUGGUGUGGAUAUGCUGGUGGUGGUGGUGAUGUGGUGUGUGGGUAUGCUGGAGGUUAUGUGGUCUGGGUAUGUUGCUGGAGAUAGUGAUGGGGGUAUGUUGGUGAUGAUUUAGUGUGGUAUGCUGAUGGUGAUGAUGUGACCUGGGUAUGCUGGCAGUGAUGUGGUGUGGGUAUGCUGAUGAUGUGACCUGGGUAUGCUGAUGGUGAUGAUGUGACCUGGGUAUGCUGGGAGUAAUGUGGUGUGGGUAUGCUGGCGAUGAUGAUGUACUGUGGAUAUGUUGGAGGUAGUAGUGUGGGUAUGCUGGUGAUGGUUAUGAUGUCGCUAUGCUGAACUGCCCAUCAAAGCUGAAUCUAAUCAAAAACUUCAAAUUAAUAAUGAUAACAACAACACUAAUCAUCCUUAUAAGCUUCAAAGUCCAUCAUAAGCUUAGAAUAUACGAUUUGUCAUUUAUAAGAGGGAGAGAGUGAGCGAGUGGGGUUACGUGAAGUACCUUUGAUUCUACGGGCAGCAAAUUUGAUUCUUUAGACCCCUGGUUUGAUGCUAGACAGCAAGCUUGAUUCUAUGGACAGCAGGUUUUCCAUGCUUAAAGAUUGGGUUGGAUUCUUGGUUACCGCUCUCUGAAUCACACAAAUUUCCUUAUAUUCAACUUCGUACUCGGCAACAAACACAUUUUUGCUGCUUAUUCUAAUCUUGGGAAUACUGUCUCAAUCAAUUUCUUCAGCAUUUCAUUUAAAUAGCGUGUGUGUGUGUGUGUAUUUACCUAUUUGUAUUUACCUGUCUACCUUUACCUGUGUGUGUGUGUGUGUGUGUGUGUGUGCGUAGCCAAGCACAUCACACAAGUUUAGGCAGUGCAAUGUUCCCAGGGUCAUUCCUUCCUUCCUUCCUUCCUAGUGUUAGCAAGAGUGUCACGGAAGAGUUCCACAUCACUAACUCAACACCGUCAGCCACCACCUCCGCCACCGCCCAUCUCAGACCCCAAGCAAGAUGGACCGCCUCUGACCGAGAGCUCCGACGCAUGUAUAUACCUCGCCGCUGUCCCGUGAGUGAGUGUCGGUGUUUGUAUUUGCCGUAUGAGUGACCAAAUCACCAUAACCACCACCACCUCACCGUGUCUGUAAACUUUGCUGGUAAUAAAGCUCAUCUCAUCCA